GAUGAACGCUGGCGGCGUGCCUAAUACAUGCAAGUCGAGCGAACGGACGGGAAGCUUGCUUCUCUGAUGUUAGCGGCGGACGGGUGAGUAACACGUGGAUAACCUACCUAUAAGACUGGGAUAACUUCGGGAAACCGGAGCUAAUACCGGAUGAUAUUUUGAACCGCAUGGUUCAAAAGUGAAAGACGGUCUUGCUGUCACUUAUAGAUGGAUCCGCGCUGCAUGAGCUAGUUGGUAAGGUAACGGCUUACCAAGGCAACGAUGCAUAGCCGACCUGAGAGGGUGAUCGGCCACACUGGAACUGAGACACGGUCCAGACUCCUACGGGAGGCAGCAGUAGGGAAUCUUCCGCAAUGGGCGAAAGCCUGACGGAGCAACGCCGCGUGAGUGAUGAAGGUCUUCGGAUCGUAAAACUCUGUUAUUAGGGAAGAACAUAUGUGUAAGUAACUGUGCACAUCUUGACGGUACCUAAUCAGAAAGCCACGGCUAACUACGUG
rnacentral:rRNA from 1 species